UUUUAUUAUAUUAUGUUUAUUUUAUACAAAGUUUAUCCUGAAAUGUGUUGUGAGAAUUUAUUAUAAAAUGUUUAAAAGGAAGCAGGUGAAAAGUCAGUGCUUUUCAAAAAACAUGAAAUAAGCCACUAACUUUUUAUUAAAAAUACCUAGCGAUUCUUAGGAAAGGAGGCAAAAAUUGUCCUUUGCAGCCGCUGUUCGAAUUUCAGGACGCUAGUACAAACAAUUCUAAAGUUAGAUGUACACACACAAAAUCUUCAUUUUAUUAUACAUAAAUGUCAGUUUGUAUGUUAAAGAAUAAGGGUCUGGAAGUUAUGUUUUACUGUCAAUUGUCUUAUUUCUACUUACAAUUUUAAAUUAUGUUCCCCCAUUUUUUAUAAAUGAAAUAAGUACAAUUAGGUAAUGUUUUUAUUUUAUAAAUUUUUAACAAAAUGUGUUUUUUAAAUAAUCUUAAAUGUAGCUUAUAUUUUAUUUUAAAUUAUUAAAGUAAAGUUAAUCAAAUCCUUAGAAAGCAACUAAAAAAAAUUAUAUUUUCAAUUGGUCAUUUUUAAGAUAAAAUCUUAGGCAGAAAAACUCUUGUAGUUGUUAUAGUUUAGUAAUUCAGGAAACAUUCCUUAAAGAGAGAGAAAGAUUCAUUAGAGAGGGAAAGAUUAUAAUGCCUGGGAAAACAAACCUUACAGUUUAUUAGUUAGGCUGAUAUUAUUUUGAAACUAGUAUGCAUGUGAAUUUGAUCUAAAUGUUGACUGAUAUUUAUACUUUUCAUCACUUACUAUAAUUCAUCAAUUUAGGUUAUGAUGAUGCUAUAAAAUUCAAUGAAGAAUCUAGUUUUACUGUUUCAGUUGAUAAUACUGUUUGUGCUUGGGAUUGCCGUAGCAAGUCUUGCGAGCCUAUUCAGUUUGUCAGUGAAAGGUCCUUUGAAAAUUUUCAAAUUCUGGCAUAUAAGUAACAGUUGAAGUAAAUUGUUGAGAUAGAGAGAACUUUUUAUCUUGGUUCAGUGAACUGUGUUAACUUCACAAAAUAUGUCUGUGUUCUUGCUAGCUGUUUAGACAAUACUUUGCGACUUACAGAUAAAGAAGGGGGUGAAGUGCGUUCUGAGCACACAGGCCAUAAAAAUGAGAGGUAAAGGAUAGAAAGUUUCCUCAAUGACACAAAUUCUCACGCAGUUUCUGGAUCUGAAGAUGGUUGUGUUUACAUGAGGGACCUAAUUGAACAAACACGAAAAAGAAAUUUCCCUGCUUGGGUUACCAACACAGUAGCUGGGAUUGAAAGAAGGCAUCGAGAGAAGAUGGAAAUUUUUAACAAAUACUUAAACUUUGUAUCGAAAAUUGAAAAAUGAUUUAACACUUAUUUUAAAAUCUUGCAACAGACUUCUCUCCUUGUAACGAUUUCUGUGUUUAAAUAUUUUAUUAUUUUUAAUUUGGUGCUUUUCAAAAACACUUUUUCAUCAAACUUCUUAAAAAAUUUAAUACAAAUAUUUGUUAUUCACCCGUAUCAGUUUAAAUAUUAAAGCUAUUAAUAGAAAU